rnacentral:rRNA from 1 species
GAUGAACGCUGGCGGCGUGCCUAACACAUGCAAGUCGAGCGAACAGACGAGGAGCUUGCUCCUCUGACGUUAGCGGCGGACGGGUGAGUAACACAUAGAUAACCUACCUAUUAGACUGGGAUAACUUCGGGAAACCGGAGCUAAUACCGGAUAACAUGCCCAACCGCAUGGUUCAACAGUGAAAGACGCCUUUGCCGUCACUUAUAGAUGGAUCCGCGUCGCAUUAGCUAGUUGGUAAGGUAACGGCUUACCAAGGCAACGAUGCGUAGCCGACCUGAGAGGGUGAUCGGCCACACUGGAACUGAGACACGGUCCAGACUCCUACGGGAGGCAGCAGUAGGGAAUCUUCCGCAAUGGGCGCAAGCCUGACGCAGCAACGCCGCGUGAGUGAAGAAGGUCUUCGGAUCGUAAAACUCUGUUCUUAGGGAAGAACAAAUGUCUAAGUAACCAUGCACGUCUUGACGGUACCUAAUCAGAAAGCAACGGCUAACUACGUG